AGAGUUUGAUCAUGGCUCAGAGUGAACGCUGGCGGCAGGCCUAAUACAUGCAAGUCGAACGGCAGCACAGCAGAGCUUGCUCUGUGGGUGGCGAGUGGCGGACGGGUGAGGAAUACGUGGGAAUCUGCCCAGUCGUGGGGGAUAACGUAGGGAAACUUACGCUAAUACCGCAUGCGCCCUUCGGGGGAAAGCCGGGGACCUUCGGGCCUGGCGCGAUUGGAUGAGCCCACGUCGGAUUAGCUAGUUGGCGGGGUAAAGGCCCACCAAGGCGUCGAUCCGUAGCUGGUCUGAGAGGAUGAUCAGCCACACUGGAACUGAGACACGGUCCAGACUCCUACGGGAGGCAGCAGUAGGGAAUAUUGGACAAUGGGCGCAAGCCUGAUCCAGCCAUGCCGCGUGAGUGAAGAAGGCCCUCGGGUUGUAAAGCUCUUUUGUCCGGAAAGAAAAGCGCCGGGUUAAUACCCUGGUGUCCUGACGGUACCGGAAGAAUAAGCACCGGCUAACUUCGUG
rnacentral:rRNA from 1 species